rnacentral:tRNA from 1 species
GGCAGCGUGGCCGAGUGGUUAGGGCGCCGGACUUGUAAUUUUCGGAGGUCCCGGGUUCAAGCCCUCCACCCUACCA